AAACUGCUCACGUUUUUUAAGGUGACAUCGUAUUUUGCCGAUUUCCCAAAGUCUGUUAGAAAAGGUCUGAUUUCCUACAACUCUAACAGAGUUCUAGAUGUCAACAUGAGACACAGACAGUAGCGGCGUUUCUCUACACGGAGCGUUGGUGCCGGGCUGACUCCUCCUAUUCAGACACGUGUGUUUGUUUACAACCUAUGGAGCACGAAAUGCAAAGAGGAGCAAUGUCGACCGACAAGCUUUGUACAUAGACGAGUUGCAUCAAGUCCAGGCAAGGGACACGCAGGAAUUCUACCCCUGUCGUUGUCCAGCGUGACAGUCUGACCGUCAAAGCAUGCAUUUCCUGAAAAUGACUGCUGAGGAGCAGCAUGAGUCUCCAGAUGAGGAGGAGAUCAAUUAUUUGAGAAAAACAAUCAUUGACAUCGAUGAUCCUGGUCAGAGGUUCAGGAAAAGGAGACGGCUCUGAUGAGGAAUAUAUUCCUCACCUUUGUUUAUGGACAACUUCAGACUUCGAGAACUUCCAAAAUCACAUCCUGAUGUAUGCAGGAAAGCAUUUUGGCUUUAGCCCACCCGUAUACACAGCUCAGACGUUGCUUGUAACACUUGGUUACAACCACCGCCUCCCUGCACGAAACCGUGAUGGGACACAAGAUUUACCGAUGGUUCUACAAUAAAAACAUGAAGAGCGGGAGUGUGUAUACCCUGAAAGAGAAAAAGGACUAUGGCUACUGUACAUCCCUGAACUACAGAAGGCCACUCUUUCAAAGAGGCUUCAGAGUG